GGGCUGAGUGAGGACUGUGAAGAAGCUGCAGCCGGACCUGGAACUGGAGUUGGAGCAGAAGAGGGCUCGACUGUCAUUCUUUUUCUGCGCACAUCUUCCUCUAAUCCUUGAACAGAUUUACUUUUCUACGGUAGCUUUGAUUUGAGAGCCAUUUUGGAUAGGAGAGACUUGCAAACAGUCUGAGAGAUUUGAUGAGGGGU
rnacentral:lncRNA from 1 species